UCCGGUUUAACACCGGCAGUCUCUUUAGAGUGCCCAACUGAAUGCUGGCAACUAAAGACAAGGGUUGCGCUCGUUGCGGGACUUAACCCAACAUCUCACGACACGAGCUGACGACAGCCAUGCAGCACCUAUCUAGCGGCCCGAAGGCUAUGACAUCUCUGCCAUAUUCCACUAGUAGUUGAGCCCAGGUAAGGUUUUUCGCGUUGCAUCGAAUUAAACCACAUGCUCCACCGCUUGUGCGGGCCCCCGUCAAUUUCUUUGAGUUUUAAUCUUGCGACCGUACUCCCCAGGCGGGAUACUUAACGCGUUAGCUCCGGCACUGAAGGGGUCAAUACCUCCAACACCAAGUAUCCAUCGUUUACGGCGUGGACUAC
rnacentral:misc_RNA from 1 species